rnacentral:rRNA from 1 species
GGAUGCUAUCAUACCAGCACUAACGCACCGGA